rnacentral:lncRNA from 1 species
UAUUAAAAGCCAAUAAACUCGUUGAUUUUUGGUUUGUUGAUUGAGAGAGAGAGAGAGAGAGAGAGAUGGAAAACAAGUAAAGGGAAUGUUAAAACUAGAUCUAUAACAACUCUCUGUCCUUUUUAAUUCAGUUGAUGCAUGUUUAAGGCAUGUCAAAUCUUGGAAAUUGCCUGCUUACAAUUUACAAACCAUACCCUCUUUAGGAUCAACUGGA